rnacentral:rRNA from 1 species
UACGUAGGGUCCGAGCGUUGUCCGGAAUUACUGGGCGUAAAGAGCUCGUAGGUGGUUUGUCACGUUGUUCGUGAAAACUCACAGCUUAACUGUGGGCGUGCGGGCGAUACGGGCAGACUAGAGUACUGCAGGGGAGACUGGAAUUCCUGGUGUAGCGGUGGAAUGCGCAGAUAUCAGGAGGAACACCGGUGGCGAAGGCGGGUCUCUGGGCAGUAACCGACGCUGAGGAGCGAAAGCGUGGGGAGCGAACAGG